AUUGAACGCUGGCGGCAUGCUUUACACAUGCAAGUCGAACGGUAACAGGGAGCUCGCUCCGCUGACGAGUGGCGAACGGGUGAGUAAUGCGUCGGAACGUGCCGAGUAGUGGGGGAUAACGCAUCGAAAGGUGUGCUAAUACCGCAUACGAACUGAGGUUGAAAGUGGGGGACCUUCGGGCCUCACGCUAUUCGAGCGGCCGACGUCUGAUUAGCUAGUAGGUGAGGUAAAGGCUCACCUAGGCGACGAUCAGUAGCGGGUCUGAGAGGAUGAUCCGCCACACUGGGACUGAGACACGGCCCAGACUCCUACGGGAGGCAGCAGUGGGGAAUUUUGGACAAUGGGCGAAAGCCUGAUCCAGCCAUGCCGCGUGUCUGAAGAAGGCCUUCGGGUUGUAAAGGACUUUUGUCGGGGAGGAAAUCCCCAGCGCUAAUACCGCUGGGGGAUGACAGUACCUGAAGAAUAAGCACCGGCUAACUACGUGCCAGCCGCCGCCGUAAGAC
rnacentral:rRNA from 1 species